UUGAUUUCUAGUAGUUGUUAGACAACAAAUUUGGAAGAGUUCUUAUGCAUAUUUUCAAGUAUAAUAAUAGACAAUUGUGGUGUUAUGAUCAAUGUUUUGGUAUGAUUGUUUCUUUGUUGAAGAAUGUGAUGUAUAUAAAAACUUUCACAAACUGAUUAUUGAAUAGUUUAAAUAAAUAAAUAAUUAAUUAAAAUAAAAAAUUUAGAAAUA
rnacentral:lncRNA from 1 species